rnacentral:rRNA from 1 species
GAUGAACGCUGGCGGCGUGCUUAACACAUGCAAGUCGAACGGUGAAGGCGGAGCUUGCUCUGCUGGAUCAGUGGCGAACGGGUGAGUAACACGUGAGCAAUCUGCCCCUGACUCUGGGAUAAGCGCUGGAAACGGCGUCUAAUACUGGAUACGAGCUGCGAAGGCAUCUUCAGCAGCUGGAAAGAAUUUCGGUCAGGGAUGAGCUCGCGGCCUAUCAGCUUGUUGGUGAGGUAACGGCUCACCAGGGCGUCGACGGGUAGCCGGCCUGAGAGGGUGACCGGCCACACUGGGACUGAGACACGGCCCAGACUCCUACGGGAGGCAGCAGUGGGGAAUAUUGCACAAUGGGCGAAAGCCUGAUGCAGCAACGCCGCGUGAGGGACGACGGCCUUCGGGUUGUAAACCUCUUUUAGCAGGGAAGAAGCGAAAGUGACGGUACCUGCAGAAAAAGCGCCGGCUAACUACGUG